AUCGAACGCUGGCGGCAGGCUUAACACAUGCAAGUCGAGCGGGGGAAGGUAGCUUGCUACCGGACCUAGCGGCGGACGGGUGAGUAAUGCUUAGGAAUCUGCCUAUUAGUGGGGGACAACAUCUCGAAAGGGAUGCUAAUACCGCAUACGUCCUACGGGAGAAAGCAGGGGAUCUUCGGACCUUGCGCUAAUAGAUGAGCCUAAGUCGGAUUAGCUAGUUGGUGGGGUAAAGGCCUACCAAGGCGACGAUCUGUAGCGGGUCUGAGAGGAUGAUCCGCCACACUGGGACUGAGACACGGCCCAGACUCCUACGGGAGGCAGCAGUGGGGAAUAUUGGACAAUGGGGGGAACCCUGAUCCAGCCAUGCCGCGUGUGUGAAGAAGGCCUUAUGGUUGUAAAGCACUUUAAGCGAGGAGGAGGCUACUCUAGUUAAUACCUAGGGAUAGUGGACGUUACUCGCAGAAUAAGCACCGGCUAACUACGUGCCAGCCGCCGCAGUAA
rnacentral:rRNA from 1 species